rnacentral:rRNA from 1 species
AAUGAAUGUUGGCGGCGUGGAUUAGGCAUGCAAGUCGUACGCUUUAUGUAGCAAUACAUGAGGAGUGGCGUAAGGGAGAGUAAUGCAUGGUUAGCUACCCUCGGGACUGGGAUAGCGGCGGGAAACUGCCGGUAAUACCAGAUGACAUCUUCGGAUCAAACGUGUAAAUCGGCCCGAGGAGGUGACCAUGUCCUAUCAGCUAGUUGGCGGUGUAACGGACCACCAAGGCUAAGACGGGUAUGGGGCGUGAGAGCGUGCCCCCACUCACUGGGACUGAAGCACUGCCCAGACACCUACGGGUGGCUGCAGUCGAGAAUCUUCGGCAAUGGGCGCAAGCCUGACCGAGCGACGCCGCGUGCGGGAUGAAGGCCUUCGGGUUGUAAACCGCUGUCGUAGGGGAGGAAGGCUCCGUGCAGAACGGAGUUUGACCGAUCCUAGGAGGAAGGGCCGGCUAAUCUCGUGCCAGCAGCCGCCGUAA